UUAGCGGAGGAAAAGAAACCAACCGGGAUUACCUCAGUAACGGCGAGUGAAGCGGUAACAGCUCAAAUUUGAAAUCUGCCAACAGGCCGAGUUGUAAUUUGUAGAAGAUGCUUUGGGUAUGGCUCCGGGUUAAGUUCGUUGGAACACGACGUCAUAGAGGGUGAGAAUCCCGUAUGCGCCUGGUUGCUUUUGCCUAUGUAAAGCUCUUUCGACGAGUCGAGUUGUUUGGGAAUGCAGCUCAAAAUGGGUGGUAUAUUUCAUCUAAAGCUAAAUAUUGGCCAGAGACCGAUAGCGCACAAGUAGAGUGAUCGAAAGAUGAAAAGCACUUUGGAAAGAGAGUUAAACAGUACGUGAAAUUGUUGAAAGGGAAGCGCUUGCAACCAGACUUGCACGCUGUUGAUCAUCCAGGCUUCUGUUUGGUGCACUCAGCAGUGUUCAGGCCAGCAUCAGUUUCGGUGGUGGGAUAAAGGCCCUGGGAAUGUAGCUUCUUUCGGGGAGUGUUAUAGCCCUCGGUGCAAUGCCGCCUACCGGGACUGAGGACCGCGCUUCGGCUAGGAUGCUGGCGUAAUGGUUGUAAGCGACCCGUCUUAA
rnacentral:rRNA from 1 species